GAGUUUGAUCCUGGCUCAGAACGAACGCUGGCGGCGUGGAUAAGACAUGCAAGUCGAACGGGAUUUUAUUUGUAGCAAUACACGUAAAGUCUAGUGGCGAAAGGGUGCGUAACACGUGGGUAAUUUGCCUUAAAGUUGGGGAUAACUUGCCGAAAGGUGAGCUAAUACCGAAUGUGGUCUCUCGGCGGCAUCACCGAGAGUCUAAAGCUGGGGGACCUGGCGCUUUAAGAUAAGCCCGCGGCCUAUCAGCUUGUUGGUGAGGUAAAAGCUCACCAAGGCAACGACGGGUAGCUGGUCUGAGAGGACGAUCAGCCACACUGGAACUGAGACACGGUCCAGACACCUACGGGUGGCAGCAGUCGAGAAUCUUUCACAAUGGGCGAAAGCCUGAUGGAGCGACGCCGCGUGGGGGAUGAAGGUCUUCGGAUCGUAAACCCCUGUCAUCUGUGAGCAAUGCCUCCCGGUUAUAACCGGAAGAACUGAUAGUAGCAGAAGAGGAAGGGACGGCUAACUCCGUGCCAGCAGCCGCGGUAAUACGGAGGUCCCAAGCGUUGUUCGGAUUCACUGGGCGUAAAGGGUGCGUAGGUGGCUGAGACAGUUCGAUGUGAAAGCUCCGGGCUCAACCCCGGAACUGCACUGGAUACUGCUUUACUAGAGCACUGGAGAGGUAACUGGAAUUUACGGUGUAGCAGUGAAAUGCGUAGAUAUCGUAAGGAAGACCAGUGGCGAAGGCGAGUCACUGGACAUUUACUGACGCUGAGGCACGAAGGCCAGGGUAGCGAAAAGGAUUAGAUACCCUUGUAGUCCUGGCAGUAAACGGUGCGCGCUUGGUGUGGGAGGAUUCGACCCCUUCUGUGCCGGAGCUAACGCGUUAAGCGCGCCGCCUGGGGAGUACGGCCGCAAGGCUAAAACUCAAAGAAAUUGACGGGGACCCGCACAAGCGGUGGAGUAUGUGGCUUAAUUCGAUGCAACGCGAAGAACCUUACCUAGGUUUGACAUGCAUCUCUAAAUCUGUGAAAGCAGAGGAGCGUAGCAAUACGCAAUUUGCACAGGUGCUGCAUGGCUGUCGUCAGCUCGUGUCGUGAGAUGUUGGGUUAAGUCCCGCAACGAGCGCAACCCCUGUAUUCAGUUGCCAACGGUUCGGCCGGGGACUCUGAAUAGACUGCCCAGAUCAACUGGGAGGAAGGUGGGGAUGACGUCAAGUCAGUAUGGCCUUUAUACCUAGGGCUGCACACGUACUACAAUGCCCAGCACAGUGUGAACCGAGACCGCGAGGUGGAGGUAAUCCCUAAAACUGGGCUCAGUUCGGAUUGGAGGCUGCAACUCGCCUCCAUGAAGUCGGAAUCGCUAGUAAUGGCACAUCAGCUACGGUGCCGUGAAUACGUUCCCGGGUCUUGUACACACCGCCCGUCACAUCAUGGAAGCCGGCAGCACCCGAAGUGCCUGCGCCAACCUUUAUGGAAGCAAGGCCCUAAGGUGAAGCUGGUAACUGGGAUGAAGUCGUAACAAGGUAACC
rnacentral:rRNA from 1 species